UACGUAGGGUGCAAGCGUUGUCCGGAAUUAUUGGGCGUAAAGGGCUCGUAGGCGGUUUUGUCGCGUCGGGAGUGAAAAACUCAGGGCUUAACCCUGAGCCUGCUUCCGAUACGGGCAGACUAGAGGUAUGCAGGGGAGAACGGAAUUCCUGGUGUAGCGGUGAAAUGCGGCAGAAUAUCAGGAGGAACACCGGUUGGCGAAGGGCGGGAUUCUCCGUGGGGCAA
rnacentral:rRNA from 1 species